AUCACAUUAACUUACAUUAAUUUAUAAAAUUACUUCAAUGAAAUUCAUUUUAUGGAUGAAAAAUUUCUUUUCUUUUAAUAAAAACACAUUAGAGCACCCCCGUCAAGUUUCUCAUAUCUCCCCUAUCCUCAAAAUUUAGGAAAAAUUUUAGGGUUUAACCCAAAAACCCCACUGCAUCCGAUUCCUUAUUAUGUGGUUGCCGUUUACGAUCUGUAUAGGGUUUUCCCAUAUUUGCAAUUUUAUUGUACGUCCCCAUCCCCAACAAACCCCAAUCAGUUUCCCCUUCUCCCGCAUCUUCUUCUCCGUCGGUUGGCCCCCCUUUUUCUGUUCGCAUCUCCAUCGGUACGAAAGCUCUCCAAGCUUGUAAGUUUCCGUUUAAAAUCUUUGUGAUUUCUGUUGAUUGUUUAUCUGGUUCUCUAUUUAGGAUUUUUCAUUGAGAUUGGCCACGACGCCAUGACCGAUUUCUCUUCUUCUCAAGUUUUUGAGGGAUCUUUUUCGAAUUGAAAAAUUAACGGCCGAGCUAGAUCUUGGACUAAAUAUUCUUUCACAAGUAUGAAUCUCGAUUGAUAGUUGAAGAUUUGGGAUUUUUUGGAUUUGGCUGAAUUCCUUUAUCCUUGGUCCGAAUCCUUGCAUCAUGAUUUCUGAUGUUUUGGAGAUUUAUUUGAUGGAAAUCUUUAUGCUCUCUAUUUUAAUCGUAUUAUUGUUCACUUAUUGCAUUUGAAUACCUUGCGAAAUCUAUUCGGUUGUUAUUUUGGUAUCUCUGUGCAUUUUCGAUUGUUUGGAUUUUGGUAUCUCUGUAAUUGUGAGAUUGUGAGAAAUUAUAAGAAAUCUGUUUGGGACUUUUCUGAUUGUUGUUUCAAUUAUUUUCAAUAUGCAUAAAUUUUUAGAACACCGUUAUGUAGAAUUUGUAGUUACUUUUCCAUAAACUGUCAAUGCUUUUUUGGUUGAGAAAAUGCCACAAUUGUCAGCUAUUACCACGGGAGUCUUGCCUGAUUUCUAUUUUGCAUAUUUCUCAUUUUAUUGUAAAUGUACAAAGAUAGAUCAUCAGCUAUUGCUAGGACAGAUCUUCUGUGAGGCUCCCUCGUGGGCCCAUAAUUGUUUCUUGGUUGGAAUUUUUCACUUCUUUUAUUGUUUUCAUUUUUGUUGUUCUCAUUUUGUCCCCUUUCAUUGGUAUUAUUUUGGUGGAUUGCCACCAUUGAUGGCCAUGAGACUGAUUUCUGUUACAGGUCCCAUUCCCAAAACUGUAACUUGUUCGGUUAUUAAAAAAAAUCUGUUAUGUACUGUGAUGUAUAGACAUUGAAAGAGGCAGAAAAUUCUUUUGAAUGAUCUUCCAUAUCUAUGAUUUAAUGAAAGGCCCAUAUACUAUUGUGUAGGGAUAUUUUUUUGUACUUUUUAGUUGGUAUUAUUUUGCCGAUAAGCCAUUUAAUAUUUUAUAAAAUACUUCAAUAUGGUUUGAAACUAGUAUAACACAUUGGUUGUUAGUAUCAAUAAUGUGUGCACUGCCUCAUAACAAGGUUUUCAAGAAUAGAUUCUUUUAUCAAAAUGGAACUUGAUGAGUUGGUCUAAUCACAUAUUCAUUGGUCUAACCUUUUGUCACUUUGCUGUUCCUUAACUAUAAUAUUACCAUUUGUUGGUCAUUGAGUAAUUUCUUAAUUGUUGUUUGGUCAUUUGCAGUGUUUCGUGUCAUUCAGGGGAGGGGGGAAUAUAAUUAGGAUGUGAUGAUGGGGUUAAUUCAGAAGUGUAAUUGGGGCCCUAUCGAUAUGGCGGGGUAAUCGUUACUCGAAUAGGCCAAGUUGCAGUUUGUGUUACUCUCCAUAAACUACAAUCGGGGUUCGGGUGAGGUUUUGCAGUCAUUCGAUGUUGGACUUCUUGAUUACGCAUGUUGUCAAUAUUUACAUCAUUCUGACCCACAUUUAUUGUCUUAUUCAAUAUGGGGAACCGGAUGAGAAUGCUCUUAUUUUGUGUUUUGUAAUUUGCAUGUUGUUUGUUGUUGUUUGUAUUCUGUUGCGAUAGAUGUGUAAUGUGUAAAUUAAACCCCCUCAGCUGUGAUGAUGACAACCGCAUGUGAAGAUUAUGGAUAUUUAUGGCCAUCUCCUCAAUGGUUAGGUAACCCGGACAGCCAACAAGUCCUGGCAACCGGUCGUUGCAACCAUGAGUGGGUGGCCAAAUUUCCAUAAUGUCACCAUUCGGUUCCUAAGUCCCGACUAAAACCCAAACUUCAAAGUGAUGGAAGUUUGAUCAACUUUUUCAUUAUUUUUUUAGAGAUGGAUUCCCAAGACCCUGGACAUAUGUACUUCACCAAUCUCCUAAGUCAAGAUUCUCAACUCGACCCCACUUACGGUGGGCAAAGUGGAACAUCUCCGUUAACCAUUGAUGACUCUCCACCCCCUACCCCCUAACGAGCCUAUCGGCAAUAGGAAAUCAAUGUGGAGUGCAAAUUUCACCCAUGAAGAAAACAAGUUACUUGUCUCCGCAUGGCUAAAUUGUAGCCUUGAUGCCGUCUAGGGAACAGAUCAAAAACACUCUCAACUUUGGAAAAAAAUUUCUGAAUACUUUCAACAAUUUAAAGAAACCAGCCAUGAGUGGACAAUAAAGUCUUUAAUUCAUCGGUUGUCGGUUAUCCAAAAGGCGACAAACAAUUUUUGUGUGAAACUAGCCCAAGUUGAAGGGUUAAAUCAAAGUGGCAUGACCGACCAAGACAAGUUUGACAAGGCCAAAGUUAUGUAUCAAGUGCUAGAAAAAUGCUCCUUCCAAUUCGAGCAUUGUUGGCACCUAUUGAAGGACCAACCUAAGUGGAUUUGGCGAGCCACAAAGGAUGAUCCAAAGCAAAGAAAGACGAUGUCCCUAUCCCCAACCCCAACUCAAUGUUCUGGCGCUACAGUUGAUUCUGUUUUUGGUAUGGAGGCGGAUAAUGUCAUGGAGAAUGAAGUUAUUGAAUUGGACCGACCAAUUAGAAGGAAAACGAAAGGCCCAAGGCAGGUAAGUAAAGGAAAAUUUCCAACUCAGGAAGAUGAAGUAUACUCUUUUGGAAGAGUCACGUGCUCAGGAGAAAGAGUUUUAUCGAAUGAAGGCCGAGAAGAUGGAGUAUGAUAAAGAAAAAGAGGAAAAAAAAUUACGCCUUGAGGAUGAACGACUGAGGUUGGAGGCCGAGAAAAUGGUAAUUGAGAGGGAAAAAGAGCUCAAUAAAAUUCGUAAAGAGGACAAAAGGUUGAGGUUAGAGGCGCAGAAAGUUGAGCUCGCCACGAAAGAUCAAGAUCAGCGCAUUAUGAUGAUGGACGUGAGUGUCAUGCUUGAAAUGCAGCGGCUAUAUUUCCAGCAACUCCAGAGGGAAAUCAUGACUAGAUGCAAUACUUCUAAAGCUUGAAAAUUUGAUUGAUAAUAGUGACAUUUUCAGUUGUAUUUCUUAUUUUUUGUUUUGAACAAUGAUAGAUGUAUAAAAAGUAUGUGUAUGUAUUUUUCAGCA